rnacentral:rRNA from 1 species
UCCUACGGGGGGCAGCAGUAGGGAAUUUGGCUCGUUUGUGGAGACCCUGACGCAGCAACGCCGCGUGGAGGAUGAAGGUUUUAGGAUUGUAAACUCCUUUUGUUAGAGAAGAUUAUGACGGUAUCUAACGAAUAAGCACCGGCUAACUCCGUGCCAGCAGCCGCGGUAAUACGGAGGGUGCAAGCGUUACUCGGAAUCACUGGGCGUAAAGAGUGCGUAGGCGGGGUAAUAAGUCAGAUGUGAAAUCCUGUAGCUUAACUACAGAACUGCAUUUGCAACUGUUACUCUGGAGUGUGGGAGAGGUA